GCCGAUCUAAUGCAUGUAAAACACAAAGACAAAUGGAUGUUUAACACAUGAAAUCUGCACAAAAUCACCUGGAGAAAUGAUUCCUGUUGUCUGAAGUAGAAGCCAUGUCUGAUUUCCUCACUAUUCAGAAGAACUACAUUACCCAUAAUCCUGAAGAAAAAUGCACCAAUCAGAGAAGUCAUUGUUACCAUGGAAACGAGAAUCAAGGCCCCAACAUUUAUUUUAGCUCUAUUCAGCAGAAGUCUCGCCUUGAAGUCUGAGGAGCGGCUGUUUGGUUUUCCCAGUCCCAAAAGGUCAUAAGGUCACGGAGUUCACUCCGGCCGUGUCUGGUACAGAAGCUCCGCCCACUACAGCUGCACUGGAGCUCCGCCAACUCUCUUUUCCCUUUCUUGAUCUUUCUCGCUCUUUCCUUCUCCUUUCGUUCUCCUUUGGCUAUGCUCUGUUUCUCUCUUUCGUUUCCAUUGUCCAGUCUUUCUUUGUACACUGAUUGUAUUCUCCUCGUCUUCUCUCUACUGCUCAUGCUGUUCUUGCCUUCAUCAGUGUCUUUCAUCCAUUCUCUGUCUCCUGAAACGCUCACUUGUUUCAUUUGGAAACAGAUGGAUGCCUUAUUGAAGGAGAUGGAGAGAAAGACAGCAGCUCGGUUCCAAAACCUAGUGCGCUCCCUCAUAGCUCACGGCCUUCUAAGGGAGCAUCCUAGCUGUCAUGGUUCCUCAAUAGGGAUCUGUUUGGAACGCUCUACACAGGCAGCAAUUUUGUGCGCCACAAGAAAAUCAGCUUGUAAUUUAUUCCAAUUUGAUACUUGCAUGCUGGUAUGUUCAUAACUUUGAGAAAAUAGUUGCUAUUUUGUAAUUGUGAGACACAAACUUGAAAUUCUGGAAAUAAACUUUAAUAGCAUUAUCUAAGAUGCAUAA